GAUGAACGCUGGCGGCGUGCCUAAUACAUGCAAGUCGAGCGAACAGAUAAGGAGCUUGCUCCUUUGACGUUAGCGGCGGACGGGUGAGUAACACGUGGGUAACCUACCUAUAAGACUGGGAUAACUUCGGGAAACCGGAGCUAAUACCGGAUAACAUUUGGAACCGCAUGGUUCUAAAGUGAAAGAUGGUUUUGCUAUCACUUAUAGAUGGACCCGCGCCGUAUUAGCUAGUUGGUAAGGUAACGGCUUACCAAGGCGACGAUACGUAGCCGACCUGAGAGGGUGAUCGGCCACACUGGAACUGAGACACGGUCCAGACUCCUACGGGAGGCAGCAGUAGGGAAUCUGCCGCAAUGGGCGAAAGCCUGACGGAGCAACGCCGCGUGAGUGAUGAAGGGUGUCGGCUCGUAAAACUCUGUUAUUAGGGAAGAACAAAUGUGUAAGUAACUGUGCACGUCGUGACGGUACCAUCAGAAAGCCACGGCUAACUACGUG
rnacentral:rRNA from 1 species